GUCAAGUGGGAACACAUAUGCUCCCUACUGAGGAAAAUAAACUGCAGUGUAUUUUUAGCAUCCGUUGGAAGGACUCACAGCUGAAGCUACGCAGGAUCCAGGCCAUUCACUGAAGGCCCAAGGAUUGGCCGCAAUGUCACCAAGAAUUCCAGAAUGUGCCCUGGGGGUCUAUCUCUCUAAUUCCACCUCCUUGUUCCACUGAGCAGAUGUGGGAAAAGUAGGCAGAGACAUGAAGGCAUCAAGGUCAACGACAGAUCCCAUCCUGGAUACAUUACAAUCAUCAUGUCUUCUAAGGGUCUGCGGGUCUGUGACAAGUUCUCAGACUUUCAUUUCAAUGAACUUGACAGUGUUGAGGAGCACUCAUCAGCACGAGUUCUGUCUUGCUUUAGCCUCCACAGCCAUCGGCCAUCACCAGCAGAAGUAAGGGGAGAAGCCCCAUUAAGUACAUUGUAAACUCCGAGAUGCAUCAAAAAGGCCAGUAACU